UGGGGAAUAUUGGACAAUGGGCGCAAGCCUGAUCCAGCCAUGCCGCGUGAGUGACGAAGGCCUUAGGGUUGUAAAGCUCUUUUGGCGGGGAAGAUAAUGACGGUACCCGCAGAAUAAGCUCCGGCUAACUUCGUGCCAGCAGCCGCGGUAAUACGAAGGGAGCUAGCGUUGUUCGGAAUCACUGGGCGUAAAGCGCACGUAGGUGGGCAGUUAAGUCAGGGGUGAAAGCCCGAGGCUCAACCUCGGAAUUGCCUCUGAUACUGGCUGUCUAGAGUUCGAGAGAGGUGAAUGGAAUUCCUAGUGUAGAGGUGAAAUUCGUAGAUAUUAGGAAGAACACCGGUGGCGAAGGCGGCUCACUGGCUCGAUACUGACACUGAGGUGCGAAAGCGUGGGGAGCAAACAGGAUUAGAUACCCAUGUAGUCCCUGAGCGGGCUGGCAAGGCGCAU
rnacentral:rRNA from 1 species